rnacentral:rRNA from 1 species
UACGUAGGGUGCAAGCGUUUGUCCGGAAUUAUUGGGCGUAAAGAGCUCGUAGGCGGUCUGUCGCGUCGGCUGUGAAAACUCGGGGCUCAACUCCGAGCUUGCAGUCGAUACGGGCAGGCUAGAGUUCGGCAGGGGAGACUGGAAUUCCUGGUGUAGCGGUGAAAUGCGCAGAUAUCAGGAGGAACACCGGUGGCGAAGGCGGAUCUCUGGGCCGAUACUGACGCUGAGGAGCGAAAGCGUAGGGAGCGAACGGGAUUAAUGACCGUACCGAGUCAGUCCAAGACCAUC